rnacentral:miRNA from 17 species
GGUUAGUGCGUUUUGCAAAUUCGCAGGCCCUAUCUUGUGGUAUGAACUGAGUACGCGAUGAUUUAUCCUGCGUAUUGGGGGCUUACCAUAAGAUAAAGCCGUGAAUUUGCAAAACGUUCAAACC